rnacentral:rRNA from 1 species
ACGGCUCAGUAACACGUGGAUAACCUGCCCAAGGGUCCGGGAUAACCCCGGGAAACUGGGGAUAAUACCGGAUGGAUCACUAGUGCUGGAAUGCUUGGUGGUCGAAAGGUAACGCCUUUGGAUGGGUCUGCGGCGGAUUAGGUUGACGCCGGUGUAACGUACCGGCGUGCCUGUAAUCCGUACGGGUUGUGGGAGCAAGAGCCCGGAGAUGGAUUCUGAGACACGAAUCCAGGCCCUACGGGGCGCAGCAGGCGCGAAAACUCUACAAUGCAGGCAACUGCGAUAGGGGGACAUCGAGUGGCAUCCACCUUGGGUGCCUGUCCAACCGUCUAAAAAACGGUUGUUAGCAAGGGCCGGGUAAGACCGGUGCCAGCCGCCGCGGUAAUACCGGCGGCUCGAGUGGUGGCCGAUAUUAUUGAGUCUAAAGGGUCCGUAGCCGGCUUUGCAAGUCCCCUGGGAAAUCCAGCGGCUUAACCGUUGGGCUUUCAUGGGAUACUACAUUGCUUGGGACUGGGAGAGGUAGGAGGUACUCGGGGGGUAGGGGUGAAAUCCUGUAAUCCUCCGGGGACCACCGGUGGCGAAGGCGUCCUACCAGAACAGGUCCGACGGUGAGGGACGAAAGCUAGGGGCACGAACCGGAUUAGAUACCCGGGUAGUCCUAGCCGUAAACGAUGCCCGCUAGGUGUAACGACGGUCGUGAAUCGUCGUGGUGCCGUAGGGAAGCCGCGAAGCGGGCUACUUGGGAAGUACGGCCGCAAGGCUGAAACUUAAAGGAAUUGGGGGGGAGCAC